AAUGAACGCUGGCGGCAUGCCUUACACAUGCAAGUCGAACGGCAGCAUGACCUAGCUUGCUAGGUUGAUGGCGAGUGGCGCACGGGUGAGUAAUGCAUCGGAACGUGCCUUUUAGUGGGGAUAACGUAGCGAAAGUUACGCUAAUACCGCAUAUUCUCUGAGGAGGAAAGCAGGGGACCUUCGGGCCUUGCGCUAGAAGAGCGGCCGAUGUCGGAUUAGCUAGUUGGUGAGGUAAAGGCUCACCAAGGCAACGAUCCGUAGCGGGUCUGAGAGGAUGAUCCGCCACACUGGGACUGAGACACGGCCCAGACUCCUACGGGAGGCAGCAGUGGGGAAUUUUGGACAAUGGGCGCAAGCCUGAUCCAGCCAUGCCGCGUGAGUGAAGAAGGCCUUCGGGUUGUAAAGCUCUUUCGGCUGGGAAGAAAUCGCACCCUCUAAUACAGGGUGUGGAUGACGGUACCAGCAUAAGAAGCACCGGCUAACUACGUG
rnacentral:rRNA from 1 species